CACUAAUUGAUAUUAGAACAUCUCCUGAGAAGCCUCUAAAAUACAAAUCUCUGAGCCUUCAUGAUACAGAAGAGUAUCACUAGAGGAAUUCAUCCAGCCAAAACUGGCAGCCCUGUUCCCUUGCUGAACUUGGAUUAAGUGUAGAAAAAGAUCCUGCAACUUUCUGAAGAGGAGAGAGAUAGAAGAAUGAUAAGGGAAGUGUUGCUGCUUGCAUUUUUUGCCUACACUGUGGAUGUGAAGCGAUCCCAAAUUUAACAUUACAAGAAUAUGGUUUUAAAAAAUAGUUUAAGCAUGUGAGUGCCCCCAGGAGCAGAAGGAGGGGAAUGGAGACAGCAGCGGAAGUGCCCCUGAUGGAGAGGU